ACCAUCAGCCUAGCUAAUUCUAGGACCUCUUCAUCAUUUUGUAAAGAAAUCCCAUACCCUUUAGCUAUUAUCUCCUUAAACCUAGUAAGUGGUUCCUAACUCUAAGCAAUCACUAACCCAUUUUCAAAUGUUUUAUAGAGCUUCCUAUUAUGGACUUAAAUCUGGAUAACAUCAUAAAAAUGUGAAAUUUUUAUUUGCUUCAGUCACUAUACAUAAUAUUUUUGAAGUUCAUUCAGGUAGGGGCAUGCAUCAGUACUGCAUUCCCUUUUAAGGUUGAGUAAUAAUUCAUUGUAUGGGUAUACCAUGUUUUGUUCAUCCAUUCAUCUGCUGAUGGUUGUUUGGAUUGUUGCCACCUUUUGGAUAUUAUGAAUAAUGCUAUUAGAAACAUUCAUGUACAAGUUUUUGUGUGGCGAUAGCCUUUUUAUUUCUUUUGGGUAUUUCCCUAAGAGGAGAAUUGCUGAAUCAUAUGACAAUACUGUUUAAUUGUGUGAGAAACUGCCAGAUUCUCCCAGAGUUGCACCAUUUUGUACUCUCAUCAGCAGAGUGUAAAGAUUUCAAUUACCCAACAACCUCACAACUUCUUAUUAUCUUUUUGAUUCUAGCCAUCCUGGUUGGUGCAGAGUGGUAUCUAGUUGUGGUGUUGUCUCCUUUAGAUUUUUUUCCCCAUGUGUUUCCUCUGCAUCUACAUAUUGCUUGCCAGUAUGCAAUAUGUGCUCACAUGUUGAUUGGACUCAAUUGAAUGUGUUACAAAAGCUGUUGGUUUUGUUGUUUUCCAUGAUUUAUUUCAGCAAGUGUCCAGCAGGCACCUGUGAUGGAUGCACAUUCUAUUUCCUGUGGGAGAGUGUGGAAGCUUGCCCUCUGUGCACGGAUCAUGACUUCCAUGAGAUUGAGGGCGCCUGUAAGAGAGGAUUUCAGGAAACUUUAUAUGUGUGGAAUGAGCCUAAGUGGUGCAUUAAAGGAAUUUCUUUGCCUGAGAAAAAGUUGUCAACCUGUGAGACAGUUGACUUUUGGCUAAAAGUGGGAGCAGGCGUGGGAGCUUUUACAGCCGUUUUGCUGGUGGCUCUAACUUGCUACUUCUGGAAAAAGAAUCAGAAACUGGAGUACAAAUAUUCCAAAUUAGUAAUGACUACGAACUCAAAAGAGUGUGAACUCCCAGCUGCAGACAGCUGUGCUAUCAUGGAAGGAGAAGAUAAUGAAGAGGAAGUUGUAUAUUCCAAUAAACAGUCCCUACUGGGAAAACUCAAAUCCUUGGCAACAAAGGAAAAAGAAGACCAUUUUGAAUCUGUUCAACUGAAAUCCUCAAGAUCUCCAAAUAUAUGAAAAGACAGUGCUGUAGCUGUCAGACUAAUGAACAAAGAAACCCAUUCUCUACUUUUACAGAACCAUAGUUUAGAGCCUGUCCUCGUAUCCGGCACAUUGGCGAUGUUACAGAGGAGGGCCAUGCCACUGAGAAGGGAAGGAGGGUGAAAUGCUAGAUUGCCUUAUCACAUGGUCAAGUGUCUUGCCAAAAAUAAGAAAGCAAAUGGUUUGAGUCUCAACUGAAGAUGAAGCUCAACUCAGGAAGAGAUUUGUCUGUAUAUACACAUAACUCAAAACCAAGGUUAAGCCCACCAGUGCACUGCUGAUGCAUGCCAUAUAAUUAAUGGGGUAUCAUUCUUGAUUUCAGGAGCCUAAGUAAGCAGUAAUUCUUAAUGAAGAGUCAGCAUGUGCUUGGGUUAUCUAAACUUACAAUCGCCUUUGAAAUUCCAUCCUUGUUGGAACUGGUAAGAAGGGCUUUUUAAGAAAUGGGAUUCUUAAAAAAAAAUAAAAAGGCAAAGAGAAACUUAGAUUUUCCCCUAAUAAAAACAAGCUGACACUAUCACAAAAGUCAAAUGGCUUGAAACAAUUUAUGUAAUACUUGAAGUAUAAUUUAGAAUGAAUAGGAAAGUUUUUUUUUUUUAGCAAAUCAUUUGCAAAAUCAUGAGAAAAAAGUGGGAUGGUUUGUGUAUAAGUACAGAGAACUGUACAGAGGUACGGGGUAAUUUAUGGCCUCCAGAAAAUGGCAGUGGGUACAUUUGCCCUAUGUCAAGCAUCAAAGGUUAUAUGCUAGACUGUAAGGAUUAUUACUUCCAUGGAGGUUUUCUUUUAAAGUUACUUAGAAAUUCAAUUUUAGAAAAUUGCAUAUAUCUGUAUUCAAAAUAAGAAUGUUGUUGUACCAUAAGCAGCUAUGAAAUAAGUAUUGUUCUUAUUCAAAAAUGAUCCAGAUAAUUGUGGUAUUUUCUCUGAUGGACAGGUUAUACUGAUAUUAGCAGGAAUUGAAUAUUUGUUGAAAGAAGUUUGAAUGAAGCUGGGUAUGACCAAUUUUGUGUCAAACUUGUUUUAAAGCUCGGAAAGAGGGGAGUUUCCUUACCAUUUAUAAUCUAAGGUGAUCUUGUUUGUUUUCAAUAAACAGUGAUCUUUAUAGGUUUCAAUCCAGAGUUUUAAAAAGAUUGGUAAUUGGCCAGUGAGGUAGGGCAUAGGGACAAGUUUAUUAAAUGUUUUGCCCCCAGUCUGUCAAUGAGGUACACCUUGUAAUUUUUGAUUCAGCACGUCAUCCUUAGUUUUGUGGGCAAUGAAGGAAAAAUAAAUAAUUGAAUUUAUUUCACUGGUGGGUAAAACAGUGGACCAUUCUGUUAUUGUUGAAUGAAUGUUUGUCUUGUGUAAGUCACUACUGUUGGAUUCAUGAGUAUAGGUGAGGUGGGCUUUGUUUUGUUGUUUUUUGUGGAAUUUUCAGAGGACAUUGCUUUACAUAAACCUUUUCUACAUUUAAUUUCUUACAUUUUAUUAUAAUUAGGAAAUUAUUUUGGCAUUGCUCAUUUUUAUCCUGCCAUCACUGCUGGUGAGCCAUUCCCCAUUUUGCUCAAAAAUUAAGCAAAAGAAUAAAAAUACACUUGAAAUGCACCCUUUCAGAGGAGCCCUGGCAAAGUUAUACAGAUUGGACAGAGUCAAGAAGUUUCCACACGGCCACCUGCCACCUCUGUCUUCAUCUUUGCUGUGUUCAGCAUGUAUGUUCCAAGCCAUAGAGAUAAUUGGGAUUUGCUCGCAGAUAGCGUCUUUCUUCUCUUGUCACUGGACUAAAAUCUCUGACAUGUCAAAAAUGCCUUAAAUUUUAAUGAACUCUCAGAAAAUACAGUUGGUAUUGAAAAUUUUAUUUAUUUUAUUUCUUAUUUUAGAUAUUAAAUAGAUUUUGGCAGCUCAGUCCCAUCUUUGGAAAGAGCUGACUUUUUCAUUUGGAUCCCAGUGGAUUGUCAUUUUAUUUCAACCACUGAAGAAGUAUGACAGAAGGAAUAUUAUGAGGAAGAUAUUCAGAUGAAUUCUGGCUAUAAAAUUUACUAAAGUCUUGCCUUUGCAAAGCUCAGUGUAAUGUUGAAAGGUGAAAAUAAAUUAAUCACGUUUCUGACUUUAAUUGACAUUUGUUACAUCUUUGCCCCUCUAAGUGGUGGAAGAACAAGUUAUUUAUUAUUUUUCUAAAAGGCAGUUGUGAAGCCUUAAAUACUUCAUUAAGUCAGCUAUCACCUAUAAAAUCUCUUAGCACUCUGUCAAAACAUAUUUAAAUCAGUUUUCCACUGAAUGAGACCAUAUCUUCCAUGGAUAAAUUAUAUCAUGCCAUUUAACAAUGUUGAGCAACUUGAUUUGUAUUCACUUGAUUUAAAGGAUUGAACUUUGUUCUUAUUGACUUUUCCC